rnacentral:rRNA from 1 species
GACGAACGCUGGCGGCGUGCUUAACACAUGCAAGUCGAACGGAAAGGCCCUGCUUUUGUGGGGUGCUCGAGUGGCGAACGGGCGAGUAACACGUGAGUAACCUGCCCUUGACUUUGGGAUAACUUCAGGAAACUGGGGCUAAUACCGGAUAGGAGCUCCUGCUGCAUGGUGGGGGUUGGAAAGUUUCGGCGGUUGGGGAUGGACUCGCGGCUUAUCAGCUUGUUGGUGGGGUAGUGGAUUACCAAGGCUUUGACGGGUAGCCGGCCUGAGAGGGUGACCGGACACACUGGGAUUGAGAUAAGGCACAGACUACUAUGGGAGGCAGCAGUGCGGAAUAUUGCACAAUGGGAGGAAGGAUGAUGCAGCACAGCAGUGUGGGGGAUGAGGGGAUGCGGGUUGGAAUGCGCUGUCGCCUGUGACGAAGCGUGAGUGACGGUAACGGGUGAAGAAGCACCGGCUAACUACGUG